AUUAAUACGCUGAAAGAGACAGUAGUUUGAAAGCACAGAAAAGCGAUCCGGGGAUGGUGGAAGCCCGGACAGGCGGCAAUCAAAUGAAAAUCACUCUUGAGUAAAAUCGCUGAACUUGAUUUUGUAAGUGAUUUCGGAUUCACACCGUUAACGUGAUCUAAGCUGGCAACUUCUUCAUGUUGCAAUUAGGGUGGUACCGCGAGUUAUAACUUCUCGUCCCUUCA
rnacentral:ncRNA from 1 species